UAACCUACCCAUCAGAGGGGGAUAACACUUGGAAACAGGUGCUAAUACCGCAUAACAGUUUAUGCCGCAUGGCAUAAGAGUGAAAGGCGCUUUCGGGUGUCGCUGAUGGAUGGACCCGCGGUGCAUUAGCUAGUUGGUGAGGUAACGGCUCACAAGGCCACGAUGCAUAGCCGACCUGAGAGGGUGAUCGGCCACACUGGGACUGAGACACGGCCCAG
rnacentral:rRNA from 1 species